rnacentral:rRNA from 1 species
AAUCUGGAGACAGGUGCUGCAUGGCUGUCGUCAGCUCGUGUCGUGAGAUGUUGGGUUAAGUCCCGCAACGAGCGCAACUCUUGCCUUUAGUUGCCAGCAGUUCGGCUGGGCACUCUAAAGGGACUGCCGGUGUUAAACCGGAGGAAGGUGGGGAUGACGUCAAGUCCUCAUGGCCUUUAUGACCAGGGCUACACACGUACUACAAUGGCCGAUACAAAGGGCAGCGACACUGCGAGGUGAAGCCAAUCCCGUAAAAUCGGUCUCAGUCCGGAUUGGAGUCUGCAACUCGACUCCAUGAAGUUGGAAUCGCUAGUAAUCGUGGAUCAGCAUGCCACGGUGAAUACGUUCCCGGGCCUC